UGCGGGUGGGAUAAACAAACUCCGCUGGGUACAUCCGGGCUCUUUGUGUUGGUGUCACAAGCCUGUGAAGAUGGCGGCGGUAGGGAGGAACACACUGAUAGCUGCUAGCAUACAUGUAAAUAACAGCAGCACCGCAGACAACCAGAACCAGAACCAGGAGGAGGAGGACGGGCAGAACUUAUGGUCGUCCAUACUGAGCGAAGUGUCAACGCGGUCCCGGUCCAAACUGCCGUCCGGGAAAAAUGUGCUGGUUAUGGGUGAGGUGGCAUCUGGAAAGACCACGCUGGUGGCCAAGCUGCAAGGUGUGGAGGAAUACAUGAAGGGGCGUGGCUUGGAGUAUCUCUAUUUCAGCGUUCAUGACGAGGAUGUAGACGACCACACACGGUGUAACGCCUGGGUGCUGGAUGGAGAUCUGUAUCAUAAAGGCCUGCAGAAGUUCGCCAUGUGUGUGGAAAACCUGGCGGACUCUCUGGCCGUGUUGGUGGUGGACCUGUCCCGGCCCUGGCUUGCCCUUGACUCUCUCCACAAAUGGACCAGCGUGCUGAGGGACUACCUGGACAAACUGCGGGUUCCUCCCGAGACCAUGAGAGAGCUUGAGCACAGAUUGGUGAAGCAGUUCCAGGAGUACGUGGAACCAGGAAGCAGUGUGGACGCAGUGCCCCAGAGGAGAAACGCAGAAUCGGAGGAGGAGAGUGUGGUGCUUCCUCUGGGUGACAACACACUCACACACAACCUGGGCAUCCCUCUAGUGGUGCUGUGUACCAAGUGUGAUGCUAUCAGCACUUUGGAGAAGGAGCACGAUUACAGAGACGAGCACUUAGACUUCAUCCAGUUGCACAUCCGACGCUUCUGUCUGCAGUAUGGCGCAGCGCUUCUCUACACAUCCAUGAAGGAGAACAAAAAUCUAGACUUGACAUACAAAUACCUCAUCCACAGGUUAUACGGCUUCCCGUUCCACUUCCCCGCCCAGGUGGUAGAGAAGGAUUCGGUGUUUAUUCCAUCAGGAUGGGACAACGAGAAGAAGAUCGCCAUCCUACAUGAAAACCUCCAGAGCAUCAAAGCAGACGACAGCUUUGAAGAUGUAAUAGUGAAGCCCCCGGUUCGGAAGUUCGUACACGAGAAGGAAAUCCAAGCAGAAGAUGACCAGGUGUUUCUCGUGAAGCUGCAGAGUCUGUUAGCCAAACAGCCUGCAGCGACUGCUGGGAGGCCCGUGGACACCUCGAACAGAGCUCCCACCGGCUCCCCGAGGACGACCAAUCGCUCCGCAGCCGCUAACGUGGCUAACGUCAUGCCCAUGCAAUCAGGUACCAAGAAGAUUGAUCCCAACAUGAAAGGAGGUCAGACCAGUGAGGGCGUGCUGGCUAACUUCUUCAACAGCCUCCUGACUAAGAAAGCAGGUUCUCCUGGGCCGGGCCAGCCCUCGGGAGGUGGCAGCAACACUCCUGGAACAGUGCGAAAGUCUGUAGACACUGAAUCAUAAACAGCCCCACAGUAAACUCGGUCUAAUCCAACACAGAUUUCUGACAUCAGCAACGGAUCUAAGUUGGGUUUGACCGAUGUCCAGGCGGAGCUCGACCGAAUUUCCAGCAAGUCGGACCUGGAUCACUCCGCCCCCAAUGCGACCACGCCCCCUGCUGAAAACGACGAGUCCUGAAAAAGAAGCAGGAUGACUCACUGUCACACCCCCCCGGCCCGCCCCGCCCCCUUUCUCCUUCAUCCUUUCUGACCUCCGCUCUGUCCGUCUCUUCUCCGCUCCCCGAAAGAAGAAUUGACCCACGUUUCCAGCGAGACCAGUGACUCAGAGCUGCAUGUAGAGCCAACUGCCACACCAUUUCUGUUCACACACACACACACACACACACACACACACACACACACACACACACACACACACACAGAGUCCCACUCCCACCCCCACCCCCACUCCCAGUAUAUCUGUAUGUAUAAUGAAUAGAGAGGUCAUGAAGAGGGUGAAAAGGAACAGUAAUGGAGGGGUUGCAGAAUGUACUGUGUGUGUGUGUGUGUGUGUGUGUGUGUGUGUGUGUGUGUGUGUGUGUGUGUGUGUGUGGUUAUGAACGUGAGGUAGGUUUUCUUGUCACUGUCCUUCGUCACUGUCGUCGUUCUGAUUUGACUCGUCCGGGAUGUCCGGAACAUUCUGUUCUUUUCACGUGAACACUAUACACACGUGCAGACACUAAAACCCGUGUUUGUGUUUCGCUUAUUAAAGCUCAUGGAGCAUUUUCAGUUUACAGCAAAACCACCAAGGCGUUUAGAGCGCAGUGAGGAUCGUGGCACUACGGUUCUUUACAACAAGGCUGUUUACGAUUUUCACACACACACACACACACAUGCGCCUUUUCGUCUCAGCAUCGUCUCUGAUCAGUGUGUGUUUUCUUCUCCGUAUAAUGAACGGAGGCACUACAAUCCAUGUGAGCAUGCAGCAGUGUUCUUCUCGAUACACUAGUCCUGGAGCUUACUUCUGUCUAACUGUGUGUGUGUGUGUGUGUGUGUGUGUGUGUGUGUGUGUGGGUGUGUGUGUGUGUGUGUGUGUGUGGGUGUGUGUGUGUGUGUGUGUGUAUAGAAAGCGGUGGUAUGUAGUGUAGAUGUAGAACAGGAGGGGGGUAGGUAGGUGGUAGUGUGUGUAGUCAGUAAACAGCGAGAGAAAGUUAACUCCCAGGGAAUGAGGAAGAGUAGGAAGGGCAUGCGAGAUCAGAAGUCACUCUACCCUGUUCGAAUUGUACAGUCAUUCAUGUCCAACAUCUGGGUGGGUGGUGGAGUUAAAAAAAUAAAUAAAAUUAAAUUAAAAAAACAAAAACAAGGUCCUGUAAUUUCACAAGAUGUAGUCGCAUUUCUCUGGAUCAGGUCUGUAAGCAUUCUAUUAAAGUUGUAUUUAUUGGGAA